GGAAGACGAGGCGGAAGUGAGGUCACCUGGAGCCCUGAAUGAUAGAUUUCGAUUGGUCCGCAAAGGAAAGGGCAUUGACUCCGACAGAGCCCAUUUUUGUUUGGGGCAAAACAAAGCGAUUGGCGCCACCUACCCUGAACUGUGAUUCUAGGAUUAGGUGAUGAUUCUGACAACUUCUGUUUUUGUGUAUCAGCCUUCUCUGCGGAGUUUUUUGGCUUUUAUUAGUUCAUUGAGAUUUCGGAAGACUGGCAUCAAGAAGUGUUUCUGACGAUUACAAAGUAAGACAAGAUACAGCAACUCUGAAUCCAAGCAGCAAGCAAAAAGGCAAUUGAGUGCUGUGUUGUCAAAGUUCUACUUUCCCUAGAGUUUUGUACAGAGGAAGAGUUUCGGCUACAUGAAUCAUGUCUAGCGAGGAGGCCUUGAAGACUCUAAGAGGGUGAGAUAAAGUAUCCCAAACAUUUCCAAAGCCAAACUGGAACUGCACACUGAUUAAUCUGCAGAGAGGCCAGCCUAAAGCUCCAACUCUUCAGAGCUAAUCAAGUGGAAACACAUUGGGGAAAUCCAGGUCAACUAUAAUUCCCAUCAUGACUAAGCAGCAUAAAGACUCUGACUACAGUGACCUAGAACUGACCUCAGGGAGAAAUCAGUCAAAACAGAAUCAUUCAUUUCCAGGAUUCUUGGUCACUCAAGAUCUCUCACAAGACUGCAGUCAAGGCCAGGGCUCCAGUCUCAUCUGAAGACUUGACUAAGUAGAAUUUGCUUCUAAGUUCGCUCACAUAAUUGUUGGCAAGAUUUACUUCCUUGUGGACUGUCGGAGGGAGGGUCUGGUUCCCUGCUGGCCAAAGGCAAUAGUCCUUCCUCAAGUCCUUGCCAUCGGGGUUCUCAUAAGGCAGUUCACAAUAUGAACUGUGUGUGCAUGUGUGUGUGUGUGUGUGUGUG